GAAAUGCGAUAAGUAAUGUGAAUUGCAGAAUUCAGUGAAUCAUCGAAUCUUUGAACGCACAUUGCGCCCGCCAGUAUUCUGGCGGGCAUGCCUGUUCGAGUGUCAUUUCAACCAUCAAGCCCCCGGGCUUGUGUUGGGGACCUGCGGCUGCCGCAGGCCCCGAAAACCAGUGGCGGGCUCGCUGUCACACCGGGCGUAGCAGAUUUUUCGUCUCGCCCAGGGCGUGCUGCGGGUUCCGGCCGUUAAAAAGCCUCUCUUUUAACCCAAGGUUGACCUCGGAUCAGGUAGGAAGACCCGCUGAACUUAAGC
rnacentral:misc_RNA from 1 species